UACGUAGGGUGCAAGCGUUAAUCGGAAUUACUGGGCGUAAAGGGUGCGCAGGCGGUUAGAUAAGUCAGCUGUGAAAUCCCCGGGCUCAACCUGGGAAUGGCAGUUGAGACUGUGUAGCUAGAGUGUGUCAGAGGGGGGUAGAAUUCCACGUGUAGCAGUGAAAUGCGUAGAUAUGCGGAGGAACACCGAUGGCGAAGGCAAUCCCCUGGACCUGUACUGACGCUCAUGCACAAAAGCGUGGGGAGCAAACAGG
rnacentral:rRNA from 1 species